AUUGAACGCUGGCGGCAGGCCUAACACAUGCAAGUCGAACGGUAACGGGAAGCAGCUUGCUGCUUUGCUGACGAGUGGCGGACGGGUGAGUAAUGUCUGGGAAACUGCCUGAUGGAGGGGGAUAACUACUGGAAACGGUAGCUAAUACCGCAUAACGUCGCAAGACCAAAGAGGGGGACCUUCGGGCCUCUUGCCAUCGGAUGUGCCCAGAUGGGAUUAGCUUGUUGGUGGGGUAACGGCUCACCAAGGCGACGAUCCCUAGCUGGUCUGAGAGGAUGACCAGCCACACUGGAACUGAGACACGGUCCAGACUCCUACGGGAGGCAGCAGUGGGGAAUAUUGCACAAUGGGCGCAAGCCUGAUGCAGCCAUGCCGCGUGUAUGAAGAAGGCCUUCGGGUUGUAAAGUACUUUCAGCGGGGAGGAAGGGAGUAAAGUUAAUACCUUUACUCAUUGACGUUACCCGCAGAAGAAGCACCGGCUAACUCCGUG
rnacentral:rRNA from 1 species